rnacentral:rRNA from 1 species
ACUCAAAUGAAUUGACGGGGGCUCACACAAGCGGUGGAGCAUGUGGUUCAAUUCGAAGCAACGCGCAAAACCUUACCUAGGCUUGACAUGUACGGAUUAUUUGGUGGAAACACUGAUGACAAUCGAAAGAUCGGAACGUGCACAGGUGCUGCAUGGCUGUCGUCAGCUCGUGUCGUGAGAUGUCGGGUUAAGUCCCUUAACGAGCGAAACCCUUACCGUUAGUUGCCAACAGGUUAUGCUGGGGACUCUAGCGGGACUGCCGUGGUUAACACGGAGGAAGGUGGGGAUGACGUCAAGUCCUCAUGGCCUUUAUGUCUAGGGCAACACACGUGCUACAAUGGUUGGAACAAAACGAUGCAAUGUCGCAAGGCGGAGCAAACCGUGAAAUCCAACCUCAGUACAGAUUGUGGGCUGCAAUUCGCCCGCAUGAAGAUGGAAUCGCUAGUAAUCGCAUAUCAGCAGGGAUGCGGUGAAUAUGUUCCUGAGCCUUGUACACACCGCCCGU